GAAGUUGGAAUUGCUAGUAAUCGCGAAUCAGAAUGUCGCGGUGAAUACGUUCCCGGGCCUUGUACACACCGCCCGUCACACCAUGAGAGUCGAUAACACCCGAAGCCUGUGAGCUAACCGCAAGGGGGCAGCAGUCGAAGGUGGGGUUGAUGAUUGGGGUGAAGUCGUAACAAGGUAGC
rnacentral:rRNA from 1 species